rnacentral:pre_miRNA from 1 species
CUCCCUCCGCAGGCUGCGGCCCCAGGCUGGGCUGGGCGAGUGUCUCUUGGAAAGUCUCACUGUCACGCACAACUAGGAGC